GCUCCCUGAGGAAUCAUCUGGCCACACAAAGUGCCCCACAUAGUAGGCAUUCAUUAAACGUUAGUCAGUAGUUUUAUUUCUUCUGCAGAUGGUGACCUCGCCUACAGAGGCCCAGCUCCUGCUAGAGAGCCCGGCAGUCACUGCCACCAGGGAAGAGGUCUUCUGGACGGAAGGCAAGGGGUGGUCUGUGCCGUGGUCCUGGUGGGGAACCCCAUUCUCCAGGAGCAGGUGGAGGAUCCCCGAGGGCCCCAGCCCUUUCCAGAGCCCUCACCUCACCCGCAAACGCCUGCGGCCAGAGCAACCACACGGGCACCGUGACAGCAACCGCCCCUGGGUGUGAGCAGCACCGGCCCCUCCCGUCCGGUCUUCACAGAACACCUGUCAGGAAGGACGUGCUCCCGUCUGCUCCGGGUCCCCGACGCCAGCUGUGGGGAGUGACCGGCGGAGCCCCACCUUCCUGGCUUAGUAAAUGCAGCCUUUACACAUUCGCUUUUAAAAAAACAAGCAAAACAGA